UUCCCCUAUUUGGACCUAGUCCAUUUUAUUUCCUGUUUCCUGUUCUCUCUGACCCUAUACCCCUUCUUCCCCAUCACCUCUGCUUUUUAUCUAAACACUGGAGCUUGCCAUACCCAACUCAUUCCCAUUUUGCGCUGUUUGAUACAUUUUUAUAUUUGUUUUUGUACAAAGCUAUCUUAUUCACACGCAAGUUUCAGACUUAUUUUCCAAAUGCUUUAUUUAACUCUGUUUUCUUUGAAAUGGCAUUGCCCAUCAUAUAAUAUAAAGUUUAAUGCUGACCUGUUAUGGAUCCAGUUACAUUGUUAUCCUUUUUAUACUUGCAUGUCAAUUUAUUUACUAUAUGCUUAUCCUAAGACUCUUAAAAAUGGAAAUAAAGAAUAAAAAAAUUAAAAAAG